rnacentral:rRNA from 1 species
CAGUCGCCGCGGUAAUACGCAGGGUGCAAGCGUUAAUCGGAAUUACUGGGCGUAAAGCGUGCGCAGGCGGUUUGCUAAGACAGAUGUGAAAUCCCCGGGCUCAACCUGGGAACUGCACUUGUGACUGGCAGGCUAGAGUAUGGCAGAGGGGGGUGGAAUUCCGCGUGUAGCAGUGAAAUGCGUAGAUAUGCGGAGGAACACCGAUAGCGAAGGCAGCCCCCUGGGCCAAUACUGACGCUCAUGCACGAAAGCGUGGGGAGCAAACAGGAUUAGAGACCCCUGUAGUCCCUGUCUCUUAUAC